rnacentral:rRNA from 1 species
ACUGCAAGUCGAACGGACUUUUCAUGAAGCCUAGCGAUUGAAAAGUUAGUGGCGGACGGGUGAGUAACGCGUGGGUAACCUGCCUUGUACUGGGGGACAACAGUUGGAAACGACUGCUAAUACCGCAUAAGCGCACAGCUUCGCAUGAAGCAGUGUGAAAAACUCCGGUGGUACAAGAUGGACCCGCGUCUGAUUAGCUGGUUGGUGAGGUAACGGCCCACCAAGGCGACGAUCAGUAGCCGGCCUGAGAGGGUGAACGGCCACAUUGGGACUGAGACACGGCCCAAACUCCUACGGGAGGCAGCAGUGGGGAAUAUUGCACAAUGGGGGAAACCCUGAUGCAGCAACGCCGCGUGAGUGAAGAAGUAUUUCGGUAUGUAAAGCUCUAUCAGCAGGAAAGAAAAUGACGGUACCUGACUAAGAAGCCCCGGCUAACUACGUGCCAGCAGCCGCGGUAAUACGUAGGGGGCAAGCGUUAUCCGGAUUUACUGGGUGUAAAGGGAGCGUAGACGG